rnacentral:tRNA from 1 species
CGGAGCGUGGCGCAGUCUGGCUAGCGCACUCGGUUUGGGACCGAAAGGUCGGGAGUUCAAAUCUCUUCGCUCCGA